UCUUUUUCCUUCUUUCGUUAAGAUAAAUUCUCCAGUAGAGAACCUCUCCCACUAAUUGUGUAUUAGCGAUGUAUUUUAUCUUAAGAGCUGGCACACUGGGCUCUCAACGUGGUGUGGAAGGCAGCCUGUUACAGUGCUGGAUUCAUAAAAGGCCCUUUAUGGUUUGUGAAAGAAUAUCUGUGUGCUUAGGCAGGAAACUUUUUGAUCUGCAGUAAAGCCAGAAGACAUCUAGGGUAUCCUUGAAGGUUAAUCAGAGAACCACUCACGUGCCUCAAGGGAAAAACUUAAAAUGGAUAUGAGAAGUGAAGAAAGUGAUCAUAGGAGAAAAUCAUCUCAGAUCAACCACUUCAGAAGAACCAGAUUCCACUUCUGUGGCCAGGACUUUUAUGUUAUGGCUGGUCCGAUUGUUUUACCCUGCGUUCUAUGCUACUAAACCUUGGAUCAUUCCUAAAGUACAAAUUCUGUUCUCGAACCACAAACAAGGCUAAAAGAUCGGAGGAAAUUCAGUGAAUAUGCAGGAUUGGGAUUGUGUAUUUUCAAAAGUAUUGAGCUUUAUAAUGCAAUUGUUUAAAAGUAGAGUCUUUUUCUUAUGUUGCCAGCAUUUUGAGUUACGUGUUUAUUAAGUGGCAUUGCUCAAAUAGCUACAGAGUAUGCAUGGAAAUAUUGGCUGUCUGAAUAGUUUGGAGAUUCAGAAAGA